GGGGUGGGGUUGGGGCUGGGUUGCGCGGGGGCCGGUCCGUUUUUUGCGUGGUCGUUGUUGUG
rnacentral:misc_RNA from 1 species